ensembl:lncRNA
UAGUGAACACAAACAUCUGUGUGUGUGUGUGUCGUCAGCUUUGGACAAUGAGAUCACAACGGACUCAAUCAUUAAAACAAGACUUUUAUUAAAAGAAAAGAAAACAAGAAAAUGUAUUCAAAUUCAAGGAAUAAAAUCAAGAAGGAAGGAAAUUUAAUCUCAAUAAAAAAAAAAAAAAGUUAGACAAAAUCACAAACUGUGGCACAGGAAGACAAAAGAGCCCCGCGGCUAAACCAUAUCAAAACCUCUUUCCUCUGACAAUCUGUACAAAAUGAGUUGUUGUAUAAAUAAACGGGUUGCCAGCGCUGAAGGACGUAGAGCCUCGUUGUGUUCACAACGUCUCCGGGCCUCUCAAGAACCUUAGAGGUGAGGACCGUGACUCUCAAGAACCUCAGAGGUGAGGACCGUGACUCUCAAGAACCUUAGAGGUGAGGACCGUGACUCUCAAGAACCUUAGAGGUGAGGACCGUGACUCUCAAGAACCUUGGAGGUGAGGACCGUGAC